GAUGAACGCUGGCGGCGUGCCUAACACAUGCAAGUCGAACGGAAAGGCCCGGCUUUUGUGGGGUGCUCGAGUGGCGAACGGGUGAGUAACACGUGAGUAACCUGCCCUUGUCUUUGGGAUAACUUCAGGAAACUGGGGCUCAUACCGGAUAUGAGCUCCUGCUGCAUGGUGGGGGUUGGAAAGUUUCGGCGGUUGGGGCUGUACUCGCGGCUUAUCAGCUUGUUGGGGGGGUAGUGGCUUACCAAGGCUUUGAGGGGUAGCCGGCCUGGGAGGGUGGCCGGCCACAAUGGGCCUGAGAUACGGCCCAGACGGCUACGGGAGGCAGCAGUGGGGAAUAUUGCACAAUGGGGGGAAGCCUGAUGCAGCAACGCUGCGUGCGGGAUGACGGCCUUCGGGUUGUAAACCGCUUUCGCCUGUGACGAAGCGUGAGUGACGGUAAUGGGUAAAGAAGCACCGGCUAACUACGUG
rnacentral:rRNA from 1 species